UAGUUGAUUUUUCUUAUAUGGACUGCUAAAAUGAGUUAACGGAAUUAGCUCAGUUUGUAUAUCUAUGGAAUUUCUUUACUAAACAUUUAUAGUAGAAAAUGAAUUUUUUUCAUACAAACAAACUGUACAUUAAUUAAUAAUUUACCAGUAGUGAUGUAUAGUUUUGAAUUUUAUUUUAACUGUAAACAUUUACAAUCAAAUAUUAUUGAAUCUUGAGAAUUUAAAGAUAGACUAGUUUAUUUUACUGGAUAGCAUCAUUGUUUUAUUGUUUUAUUUUCUUGGUGAUUUCUUAUUGUCAAGUAUAUUGUCAUAACUGCCUACUUUUUUAUCUGUGAUUAUAGAGGUAAAAAAAUGCUCUUUCUGAAAAUAGCCUUCAAUAUGAACACAAUAUGUUUACCAGAGAUACAACUAGUAUAAACACCAUAUUUUAUGCUUGUUGAGUAGGGCUGUUUUCCAAGUAUUAUUGUGAUAAUAAAAUUUUGUUCAUUUAAGCCCUUCACUUAUUUUACGAUGCAAUAUUGUAGCCAGAUUUUGACCAGCACCCUACUAGCAUUUACUUAAGCUGUGAGAAAAAAUAAAGUCACAAGUCGACAGGUCAGGGCUAUAUGAAGGAUUUAUAAAACAUCAAGCUUGGAAUUUCUCAAAAACUCAUGUACUGUGACAGAUGUAUCAUGACACCAUGUUAUCAUGCAGCAAUUUCAUGAAGCAGAUGCUAGUGGCAAAUCUGAAUUUCUGAUGGAAAUCAGGAAAAUGUGUAUAAAUAAUUUUCUGUAGAACUUUCUGUCACAAAACCAACCAUUGAGAAGUAGUAUUUAAAAAGAACAGAGCAUCAUGAAUCAAAGAAAUACCAGGAAAAAUGUAAAUAACAUGCAAGUUUUGAGGUCUCUGGAUGGAUCCAGGAAUUCCGGAAAGCAUAUUGCAAAAUUACUGGGCAAGAAACUCAAAUUACUUGACUUAAUAUAGGAAGGGGAGUCAUUGUUAGUAAUGUGCUAAAUGGAUAUCCUGGAUGCAUAUAAUACCAGGCUGAACAUUAUAAAAUGGCUUUUUAUAGAACCUGCAUAUCUAAAUAUAGUCAUUAUAUGACAUUUUAACUGUGUUUAUAAAAUAAAUAAUGAUAAAAAAAUAGACAUGUUAAGCUUUACUCACAUUCUUUGAAUUCAUAGUUUAUGCAAAGUCUUUCAGAGAAUUAAUCCUUAGUCCAUUGCUGUUGGUAUAAGAAUUUUUGAUAAACUUUUCCUUAAUUUAUCACUUUGGCUUUUAACUUUUCGGUGAAUGAUAUGAACCUGGUUUGUCCAACUGUCUGUUAGCAGUUUUUGUGUCCGAUCUAUCAUUUGAUCCGGUGGAAGGAUAUUGAAACUCAAAUUACUUGACUUAAUAUUGGGCUUCCUGAGAUCAUAAUUGGCCCUGCCCAUGGGAUAACUUGAUUUAUAUAGGAAAGGACAUGUAAGUUUCAUUGUGUGAAACUACAAUGCCUAGAGCUUAGAUAUUUAGUAUGUGGCAUUCCAUUAUUGACUUUUACAAAACUGAUAUGAUUCACACCCUUGGUUCAAUAUUGGCCCAGCUACAGGGGUCACUUGAUUUAUAUAGACAUAAAUGGAAAAACACAUGUGAGACUUAUUGUGUGAUACAAAGAGGCACAAAGCAUAGAUAUUUGGCAUUUAAUAUCACUUUGUGGACCACAAGAUAACUGGUAUUAAUCUUGCCCCUUGGGUCAGUUAAUAUUGUGUUGUAAAGGAAAACACAUUUAGGUCUUACUUUGAUAAAACUACAUAGCCUAAGUUAAGAUAUUAGACUUUUAGCAUUACCUUAUUAGUCUCUACAAAACUUAUUAAUCAUGCCCCUUGGGUCAAUUUUUGCCCCACCCUUGUGGUCAGUUACUUUAUAUAGUCUUGUAUGAAAAAACACAUUUCAGUCUUAUUUUGACAAAGCCAAGAGAUCAGAUAUUUAGCAUGUAGAAUAACCUUGUGAACCUCUGCAAAACUGAUAUUAAUCAUGCCCAGGGAUCAAUAUUGGCAAACCCCAAGGUCACUUGAUUUAUAUAAACUUAUAGGAAAACACAUUAAGGUUUUAUUGUGUGAAACUACAAGUCCCAGAACUUAGAUAGUCCCAGAACUUAGAUAUUUGACAUGUAGCAUCAAUUCAUAGAUUUUUACAGAAUUUAUAUUAAUCAUGACCUUUAGGUCAAAAUGGGCCCUGCCCUGGGAGUCACUUGCUUUAUAUGACUAAGAUAUAGGAAAAAACUAUAUUUGGCAUGUAGUAUUGCCUUAGUAGACUGUUAAAAAAGUUUUAUGAAUUGUAAACAGUCCCUCCACCUUUGAGGUUGUAUCAUAUGCUGAUUAAGAUACAACAUUAUUCAGACAAGGUUCUUGAUUGGGUCUCUACUCUUAUUAAAAGAUUAUUCUGAUUACUCAAACAAAUUUACGUUAAGCGUAUUUUCCAGCCUUUGUUGUUUUCUUGUUUAAAGAAUUCAUCCUAUGGAAAUGUUUAAACAAAGAAAAGUAAUUUUGUAUGUUUUACAUUGCCUUUUUUUGGUGUGUGUCUUUUUUUUUUUUCAUUUUAUACAUAUCCAAAUUAUAGAACAUCCGAAAUUGCAUACAGUUUUGCACGUACAAUUGAUGAUUUUAAGCAUUUAUAGUGUUCAUUUUAAUCAGUUUAAAUGUCUAAAUAAUUUAUCACUUAAAUCAAAGUCUUAAUACCUUGAAAGUGAAUAAGGUCAGAUAUCAUGAAAUGUUUUCAUUGAAGUGUUUUGAUAAUAAAAAUACUUGACAGUAAUAUUUCAAUCUAGCUAGUGUGUGUGUAAUAAUAUCAGCACAAUAUUGCAUGAGAAUCAAGUGUAUCAUUUACCUUGACACCGAUCAAAAGACUGCCAAGAUAUGACCAAAAUUGUAUUACAGUCUGCAUAAAAACCAAGUAUAAAAACACACAAAACAGACAGAAAUUAGCAAUAAAGUAAUUUGCAUGUUCCUUUUGUAAUGAACUUUACACUUUCCCUCCCUUUUGAGGCAUUUUUGAAAUCCAGUUAUAUUGAAUAUUGGAAUGGCAUUGUUCAUCUGUCCUUUUGUCUAAAUCUAAAAAUGAGCCUAAGUCUCAUCUUGAAAUUAAUGACAAUACAUUAUGUAGAAAUAAUGUUUUAAUUUCAUUUUAUCUUCAAAGGCUGACCUGAAAAGUCAUGUUCAAAGAAGUUUAAGCAGGUUCUUUGUAUCAUACAGUGAUGGAUAGCAAUUUACUAAUUUGUUUUCCCCUUUCAAAUUUACUCCACACUUUCUGCCUUUUUGAGGCAUUUCUGAAAUCCAGUUAUAUUGAAUAUUAAAAUGGCAUUGUUUCCAGAUGUCUGAUUUUAAAGAAACAUUUUUUUGGAAGGAAGUUAUUAUUAUAGUCCUGUGGGUGUACCUUUUGUCUGCAAAGUUUAACAUUGAUCAUAACCUUUAUUUUUUUGGUGUAUUGUCUUCAUACUUGGCUACAACAACCCUUGAGAUAAAACCUUCAAGUACACCAGACUAAUCUUGACCUUUAUACAUAAAUGACCUUGACCUUGAAGGUCCAAUUAUUGAAACUUUCUUAUUUUGCUGCAACUGGCUAUAACUUUGUUAUUAAUGAAUAGACUGGCUGUAUAUUUAGAAUGAACAUUCAUUAGGAUUUGACCUUCAUGUAUUAUCAAACUAAAAUUGACCAUCUGUACCUUGAAGAUUAAAUUAUUGAAUUUUCACUGAUUUUGCUAUAAUUGACUGUAACUUUGUAACUUCAAACUUGGACAAAACAACUUUUUGGAUAAGACCAACUAAAAGUUUGAACUGACCUUAACCUUGAGCUUUAAAUGACCUUGACCGUCCAUGUCAAAUUAUUGAAUUUUACUUAAACUGUCAUAAUUUUGUUAUGUCUACAGAUUUGAUUUAUAAUUUGACUUGUGACCAAACAAACAUAUUGAAUUAUUUAGAUGUGAACUUAACCUUAAAUUGACCUUGAAAUCAAUAAAAUUAUCUUGUUUUUUCCUAUAGAUAUGGAAUUUGGACCAUGUGCACAGUAUUAGAUGUAAUUUGAACUUUGGUAUCAGUUGACCUUAGAUUUAACUUAGUGACCAUAUUUCUUGUCCUUUGAUGUACAGCUAUAAAAAUUGGACCAUUUGCACAGUUUUAGUUGUAAAAUAGAACUUUGAUAUCAAGUGACCUUGAUUUUGAUGACAUGACUUACUUUCUUGUCCUUUGAUGUGCAGCUAAUAAAUUUGAACCAUGUGCACAGAUUAAGAUGUAAAGUGAACUUUGAUAUCAGCUGGCCUAGAUUUGACAAAGUGUCUUACUGUGUUGUCCUUUGAGGUACAGUCACGGAAUUUUGGCCAUGUGAAAUGUGACCUUCACCACCAAAUUCACUAGACUUAACUGCAUUGAUAGAUUCCUACUCUGAUCUUUUAUUUGAAUAACAAUAGAUUUAACCACUAAUCUGAUAAGAAUUAGAUAGGACAGUGAUCUACUUCAAUUGUAUUGAAAAAAAAAAAAUUCUGUUCCUACAUUACUAUUUGAGUGUUGUAUUAAUGUGAUGGCACAUAAUUUUUAUAUGCCCAAAAAAAUUUCGGGUAUAAUAUGUUAAACCCCCCUGGCGUACGUCCAUUAGUCUGUCUUUCUUUUGUGUGGCUAAAAAGAACAAUAGAGAGAACAAAAGAGUAGCCACAUUAUUACUGUCCCGUUGGAACGUCCGUCUGUUAGCAAUUUGGUUUCCGGAGCAUAAGUUCCAUUUGGCCCACAUUGUGUAGAAGACCCCUAUUGUUUUUGGGAUCCCAAGGUCAAAGGUCAGGGUCACUAUUACCUUACCUGUAAACAGUUUCUGGAGCAUAACUUUAGUUCCAUUUGGCCCACAAUAUUCAAACUUCAUAGGAUGGUUGUCCAUAUUGGGUAGAAGAUCCCUAUUGAUUUUGGGAUAACAAGGUCAAAGGUCAAGGUCACUAUAACCUUAACUGUAAACAGUUUUCGGAGCAUAACUCAAGUUCCAUUCGGCCCACAAUAUUCAAAUUUCAUUGGAUGGUUGUCCAUAUUGGGUAGAAGACCCCUAUUGAUUUUGAGGUCAAAGGUCAAGGUCACUAUUACCUUAAAACUGAAAACAGUUUCCGGAGCAUAACUUAAGUUCCAUUUUGCCCACAAUAUUCAAACUUUAUAGGAUGAUUGUCCAUAUUGGGUAGAAGACCCAUAUUGAUUUUGGGAAUCACAAGGUCAAAGGUCACUUUUGCCAUAAAACUGAAAACAGGUUCCGCUCAAUAACUUAAGUAUUAAUCAACUUACAGCUAUUGCAUUUUGAAGGAGGUAAUACUUUAUUUAAUUCCCAUGUCUUACAAAUGCUUCAUCCUUGCUUAAAAAAACACUUUCGGGCAUAUAAUGCUCCACCUAGCUGUGCUCUUGUUCACAAAUGCAAUCUUGUUUUCUUUAGGGAUAUAAAUUGAGCACUGGGCUUCAGUGGGCCAUGGUUAGGGGUACCAAAAAUAGAUUUCUAAACAUUUGCUUAUACAUGUAUAGCUUUUAUUAGCUCACCUGAGCUAGCUCAGGGUGAGUUUUUAGGAUUGUUGAAUGUCCGUCGUCUGUCGUCCGUCCACACUUGUUCGUUAACACUCUAGCGGUCAUAUUUUUGUCUCCAUCAUUAUCAAACUUUGUCAGGAUGCUUAUCUAGGUAAUAGUUCGAAUGAGUUCAAACAUGGGUGAUGUCCGAUGAAAAACUAGGUCACAAGAGCUAAAAAUAGAAAAACCUUGUUAACACUCUAGCGGUCAUAUUUUUGCCUCAAUCAUCAUCAAACUGUGUCGGGAUGCUUGUCUAGGUUACAGCUCGUAUGAGUUCGAACAUGGGUCAUCUCGGGUGAAAAACUAGGUCACAGGAGCUAAAAAUAGAAAAACCUUGUUAACACUCUAGUGGUCACAUUUUUGAUGCAAUUAUCAUCAAACUUGGUCAGGAUGCUUGUCUAGGUAAUUGCUUGGAUGAGUUUGAACAUGGGUCAUCUCGGAUGAAAAACUAGGAGCUAAAAAUAGAAAAAUCUUGUUAACACAUGUGGCUACUGUUCUGAUCCAAAUAUCCUGGAAAUUGGUCUGAAAGUUUUUGAUGAUUUCUAGGUCAAGAUCUAAUAUGGGUCACCUGGGGUCAAAAUCUAGGUCACACUGCUCAGAUAUGGAUAAUCCUUGUUAACACUAGUGGUCACUUUUUAGCUCGACUUUUCUAUGAAAAGGGGAGCUAUCCUACUCGCCCCGGCGUCGGCGUCGGCGUUAGCGUUAGCGUCGGCGUUGGCGUCACACCUUGGUUAAGUUUUUCGUACCACCCCACUUUAUUUCAGAAGUAUUACAAGUAUGGCUUUGAAACUUACCAUACUUGUUCACCAUCAUAACCUCCAUCUACAGACAGGAGUACAUAACUGUGUCAAGGUUUUUGACAGAAUUAUGGCCCUUUUUUGACUUAGAAAGUGUAUUGAGCUUGGUUAAGUUUUUUGUACCACCUCACUUUAUUUCAAAACCAUUGGAGGUAUUGCUUUGAAACUGACCAUACUUGUUUACCAUCACGACCUUCAUCAACAGACAAGAGGACAUAACUCUGUCAAGGCUUUUGACAGAAUUAUGCCCCUUUUUGACUUAGAAAAUACAUUGAAUAUGGGUAAAAUCCACUUAUUGCCUUAACCCUUUGAGAUAUUGCUUUGAAACUUUUAAUGCUAUUUCACAUCAUUACCCCCAUCUGUACGCAAGAGAAGGUAACUCUGUCAGGGAUUUGUUUUAAAAAAUUAGGCCUUUUAUCGACUUAGAAUCUUGGUUAACUUUUUUGUACCAGUCAACUUUUUGACUGAACUGGUUGAGAUAUUAAAUUGAAAGUUGGAAUACUUGUUUACCAUCAUGGUCCCAAAACAUGGGCAGGAGAAGGUAAUUCUGUUAAGGAUUUUAUUUGAAUUAUGGCCCUUUUUGACUUAGAAACUCAGUUAAAAUUUUCAUUCUUGUCCACUUGUUGACUUAACCAUUUGAGAUAUUACUUUGGAAGUUGGAGUUCUUAUGUGCCAUCAUGAGACCUAUCUGUAAGCAAGAGAAGAUAACUCUGUGAAAAUGUUUCUUGAUUUGUACUUAGAAAUUCCUAGUUAAAGUCUUGUGUGCCCUUAACUGUCAAAGUUUUGUUUUAUAGGCAAGCACUAAAAAAGUCGAGCGCGCUGUCCUUCUGACAGCUCUUGUUUACUCACCUGUCAUGAAACUUGGUCAGAAUGCUUGUCUAGGUAAUUGUUUGGAUGAGUUCAAUAGGUCAGGUGAGCGAUCUAGGGUCAUCAUGGCCCUCUUGUUUAUUGAUGGUAUUCUUCAUAUUUGGAAGGAACAUACCUCAGAUGUUCCAGUGUUGGGAAUCACAAGGUCAAGGUCACCUGUGCUAACAAUAGACUUUUUACACUCUUUCAAACACAGUCUUUGUAUUUUUAUACCAUAUUUAGAUGGAACAUACCUCAGUUUGUCCUUUAAGUUUUGUGUAGUUUGGGUCACUUGGUUUAGGGUCACUUGGUUCAAGGUCAAGGUCUUGCGUUUAUAUAUAUUUGAUAAAUUUUUGUAAGUUGAAUAUUUUUCAACUCCAUCACAUUGCAGUGAAAUGCCAACUUAUACUUUACACAAUGACACACCAUCAUGAUGACUCUUGUCGAGUUAUGUAAUUGUUUUUACAUUCUUUAAGCAAUUUUUCUGUCCAUAACUUGAGUGAUUGGGUAAACUUUUUUGAAAAAUUGUAACUGAUGGGAAUCUGGGUUGGGGGCAUUUGUGUUUACCAAAGAUGUUUAUGUUUACUUGUUGUAAUGAGACUAAGCAUAAAUGUAUAUUUAAAGGAAAUGCUACAAAUGAACUGCAAUCAAAAUAUAAACAUGCUGAAGUUAUGUCACUUGUUACUUGAAAAUAAGUAGUUUUCCUCCAUUUGUUAUUGAGAUGCUAAAUGUUGACAUGAACUUAUAUGUACCAAAAUAUGAAAGUUUUCAUAAAGUGUAAAGCAGCAGUAGAUAGGUAUUUUGGUGUGUUUUGUGAUUUUAUUUCUGAUGAAUUGACAAAUUUACUGAAGGAGUAAGUGGUGAUACUUCAUAGAAAUAUGUUUCUCAAGAGUUUGCAAUGAUCCUUAUUUUGUAAGUGGUGCAGUUUUAUUUUUGAUGUCAUUAUGUGAGUUCACCUGGCACAAAGUGUCAUUGUGAGCUUUAAAGAUCGCUCACUGUCAGUAGCAUGAUGUAUAUCUGUUUAAUUCUGUUAUAGGCAUCUUCUGGUAUACCACUGGGUCAGUGUUUAUGAAACUUGCCAGGAAUUGCAUCUUGCUUGAGACUAUAUCAAAGUUGCUCAUAUAAUUACACAUGGACUAUUUCAUUAUGUAAUAAGAAAUAGUGAAUGUAAUGACUGUUAGGGUAAUCUUAGACCGUUUUUUUCUUUGAAAUUCUAGAAAGUAUUGAAGGGAUUUGAUAAAACUUCCCUCACUAUCUAUUCACUUUAAUGGUCUUCUGUAUUGAAGAAAUAAUAACUUCAUUAGCAAGAAAUCUCAGGUGUGCAAAUUAGGUUCUUUGUGUCCCUCUUAUAUCCACAUGCUCAUUACUACAUAAAACUAUUCUGUGUUUGUUACUGUUUGUUAACAUGGAUAUAUUAAACUUAUUUUAUCACCUCUUUGUAUUUAUUUUUUAUUUUAGUAUUUUAGAAAUAAGUAAUUCAAUUUUGUUAAUUAAUGAUAAGAAUUUCAAAUAUUUGACAUUUCUUAUAUUUUUGGAUAUUUGGGAAUAGAUUUAAGAUAAUGGUAUAUGAAAAGUUUAUUUUAUCACUAUUGAUUGAUAUUAAAAGAAUGCAUAGUU